rnacentral:rRNA from 1 species
UACAUUUAAAAAAUUUAUUGAAAAAAAUCUCAUCUGAUCUCGGAAGCUAAGCAGGAUUGAGCCUGGUUAGUACUUGGAUGGGAGACCGCCUAGGAAGACCAGGUGUUAAAAAAAU